UUGAGCCGGAUGAGAAGAAACUUUCACGUCCGAUUUUGAAGGGGGGAGACCACUUUUUUUUAUGAUUUUUCUUUUGCAAGGCCCAUAGCUAAAAAACCUACUUUUU
rnacentral:ncRNA from 1 species